CGCCCGAUCGCCUGCCCAGAGGAUGUUCCCCGGCCCCUCCACGCUCAGGUCCUCCACGUCCUUCAUAGGUAUCACCGUGACCACCUUCAGCUCUGGUAAUCCCUCAAGCCAUCUGAACGCACCCGAGAGUCGAGAGCGGAAGAUUUACAGCUGACGAAGACUAAAGGAAGAACAGUACAAGCCAGAGAUCACCGAGCCGCCAGUUUAAAGGGACCGGAGUUAAAGGGACGCGCCUCUGCUCUCUCGCCUCGCCUCACCUGCAGGAAGGAGAGAUAAGACCCGAUGCCGAGCUGGAUUUAUCGCCCACACCUCGCCUCCCUCUGGCCCGCCUGUCUCGUUAGGGGGAAGGAACAGGAGGUGGUGGUUGCGGUUGCAUGCAGACACGAGGGUCGUCACGUCGAGCAGGAAUGAAGAGAUGCAGCCACUGAGGGAGGUGACGCCGGGAACAGUAGAAAACCCAUCCGGCGAGGUGUAAUUCAUCCCAAGCGGCUCUGACUGGCGGCACGACCAAGGCAACGCGACUAUACAUGGAGUUAUCUAAGUUAUGUAACUCAUCUUAGCCAUCUUGCCACAGUCUUCCUACUCUAUAUGAAGCAUGUUGAAAUAGUAACUGGACCUUACGUAGAAGUUGUUGCUGUUCAAUCUUUUUGCAGGUGUGGUGCAGUGGAAGACGUCACCUGAAAACCCUGCGGUGGGCGAAGAAGCCAUGCUGCUGGCGAGGAGUGUCUCCGCGGAUCUUCCAGCGUGUAGCGCUACGGACUAUACCGCCGACGCAGAGGAACUGAGCGUGGCCAGUGGACGCAUUCAGCCCGAUGUAGUCCUUCACGAUGGAAGACACCGUGGAGAACACUCGCCAUCGCUGAGCGAAUGUGCUCGGGGUAAUUCGUAAGAGGACAACCACCAACUGGAGCGGAAUCAUCGCCUCGCCAUCAUGUAUAUAUGAACUAGGAGAAUUAUCUAACCUCUUUAGUUGUAUUAAUAACAAUAAACGAAUAAGAACGUUAAUAAACGAAUAAGAACGUU